rnacentral:rRNA from 1 species
GAUGAACGCUAGCGAUAGGCUUAACACAUGCAAGUCGAGGGGUAACGUGUUGGAAGCUUGCUUCCGAUGACGACGACCGGCGGAUGGGUGCGUAACGCGUAUGCAACUUGCCUCACAGUGGAGAAUAACCCGGAGAAAUCCGGACUAAUACUCCAUACACUCUUAAGUACGCCUGUACAUGAGAGGAAAGAUUUAUCGCUGUGAGAUGGGCAUGCGUCCUAUUAGGUAGUUGGUGAGGUAACGGCUCACCAAGCCGACGAUAGGUAGGGGUGCUGAGAGGCAGAUCCCCCACAUUGGGACUGAGACACGGCCCAAACUCCUACGGGAGGCAGCAGUGAGGAAUAUUGGUCAAUGGAGGAAACUCUGAACCAGCCAAGUCGCGUGAAGGAAGAAUGUCCUAAGGAUUGUAAACUUCUUUAGCGAGCGAGUAAGGACUUCAACGUGAUGGGAGUUUGAAAGUAGCUCGAGAAUAAGUAUCGGCUAACUCCGUG